AUUGAACGCUGGCGGCAUGCUUUACACAUGCAAGUCGAACGGCAGCACGGGGGCAGCCCUGGUGGCGAGUGGCGAACGGGUGAGUAAUACAUCGGAACGUGCCCGGUCGUGGGGGAUAACGUAGCGAAAGUUACGCUAAUACCGCAUACGAUCUGAGGAUGAAAGCGGGGGACCUUCGGGCCUCGCGCGAUCGGAGCGGCCGAUGUCAGAUUAGGUAGUUGGUGGGGUAAAGGCCUAACAAGCCGACGAGCCGUAGCUGGUCUGAGAGGACGACCAGCCACACUGGGACUGAGACACGGACCAGACUACUACGGGAGGCAGCAGUGGGGAAUUUUGGACAAUGGGCGCAAGCCUGAUCCAGCCAUUCCGCGUGCAGGACGAAGGCCUUCGGGUUGUAAACUGCUUUUGUACGGAACGAAAAGGCUCUGGCUAAUACCUGGGGCUCAUGACGGUACCGUAAGAAUAAGCACCGGCUAACUACGUG
rnacentral:rRNA from 1 species